UCUUGACACAAUAAAUGUUAUCCAAUCUAAAUUAAUCAUAAAUUCUUCAUCAUCAUCAUCAACUAAACACCAUAUCAAAAGAUCAAGUUUUUAAGUGCAAGAAAACUCCACCUUUAAGUCGAAAUCGGAUUUGAAGGCUUUUUUAAGGAUUUGGUGGUGAACGCUAAGCGAUUGUUGGACGUUAUAACUCAAUUAUAACUUGUACUUCGCUCGCAUAUCCAAUUAAGGUGAACAGGUAAACCAAAGACGUAUUGGAU